rnacentral:lncRNA from 1 species
UAAUUUUUAAAAUUUGUGGUCCUCUCACCUAUAUAUUUUACAAUUUUCAAAAUUUGUGGUCCUCUCACCUAUAUAUUUUACAAUUUUCAUUUUUCUUAGCAAUGUAAUACUUUUAGCUCACACUUUUAUCAGAAUAAUCUCUCUCAAGUGUGAAUUCAUUGAUUUAUAUUCUCCCAAAACUCUUCUCAUCCCUCACUUUUACACUACAAAACUCUUGUCUCUACUCAACAUAUUAAUCCACAUAAAACCACAAAACACUACACUAUAACAUACUGAAAGUUUCAAAACACCAUACUCUUCCAACCUGCAUCACCAUCGAUCGCCGCAACAAUACCAUACACCACCAUAUGCCGGUUGUUCUCCCUCCUGCUAACCAACGUCCGCUGCCACCAGAACUGCCAUUUUCAACCCUUUACCACCUAACUGCUUCCUUUCCAAAACACUCUGACACCCUUCUUUCAUCGGCCACCGAACCUCACAACAACCUUUUCCACCACUAACUCGCGACCGUAAAAACCACCCUCCGAUAUAUCACCAUGCCCAAUAAAUAACUGCAAACUCACCGACAAAUGUGAAACCACCAAAAACCACUCUCUUCUCCUCCGAGAUUCACGCGCCACCGCCGUUCACAGUCAUUUUCCGGUGAUAAAUAAAGCAGAACACUACAACGCCAUGUAGUUCCUUUUUUCUUUUGAUUUUCAUCUUUGUUUGAUUGUUGUUUUGUCGUGGAUUAAGUUUGAACAGGGAGAUGUUGGUUUAAGAAAAAAAAGUUAAUGUUGAGAAAGAAGAAAAGAGAUCCAUGAGGAGAAGUUGGUUUCCCCUCCGCUUGUGUUCUGUUUCGAGAGAGAGAGAGUUUGUGGUUUUUAAAAAAAAAAUCUGUGUUGUUGUUUCAAAGUGCAUACGCGAGGAAGGCGAAGAAGGCAGAUUUUUAUUUUAUUUUUUCUUUCCCACUGCCACGCGUCAUCAUGUGAGUGGAGGCUUAAAAUUUUAAUUUCAAAAUUUUAAUAUUUUUUCACUCUCCUCUCUCUUCAGGAUCGAC